UAAAACAACGUAUCUGCCUAUACUGGCUACAGUCAUAUAUAAAAGAAUAAAAUAUAGCUGUAUAACUAAAUUUCGUGACAUAAAUUGAGUUACGUCUACGAGAUUUAAAUUGAAAUAUUCCUAUAAAGAAAAUCAUAAAUAGACAUGCAAAAACUCGGGCCUCGUAUGAAAUGUGGCGAGUUGAAGCGGCCCAACAUAGAGUCUAAAAUUGCAUCGAAAUAAUACAUAUCCAUGUUAAAUCGUUUGCCCAAGGCCUGUUCUAAAAUUUCGACCAGCACUCAUACAUAUCGCCAUAUUUAUUUGUGCGUGCUGAUUUUGCUGACUUGCAGUUCUCACGAAAAUCCGAUGAUACGGGGGAUGCUAAUGGCACGAAUCCCCAUAUUUCUUAUCUCAGCAAACUUUUAACAUUGCUGUAAUGUAGACGUUUAAACAUUGAUUGUCAAGCUAAAUCAAAUUUAAGAAAUUUUACUAUUACUAUAAAUAUCGUUUUAACGUUAAAAAUUCUCCACCUUGAAGUUUUUUUAGAUAUGGCAUCGGGAUAACAUUUGCAACUCCCCCCGGAAAGUUUACUCUAUGUAUCUCUCGCUUGAAUUUCGCCACUCAUCACAAUAGUGCAACGUUUCCAUGGAAACAUUGCACUAAAAAGGACUGGGAUUUAACGGAGAAAGUUAGUAGGGACGGAGCAACCGUUAUAGACAAUAUUGUGAAAAGAAAUGAAAUAACAAAGGAAGAAGGUGAUCGCUUGAAACCGAAAGACUGUCAUGCUCCGAGAUUAUCGGGAUUACCUAAAAUUCAUAAAGAAGAUGUUCCAAUGAGAGAAAUAGUAUCGACUGUAGGAUCACCUUUCGAGAAAUUAUCAAGAUAUCUAAUUCCAAUAUUAAGGACGAUUCAAGGGAGGAGUGGUCUUUAUAUAAAGAAUUCCCAAGAAUUGAAAGAAAAAAUUAAGAACUGGCGUGUGGAAAGAAAUGAAGUGCUUGUUAGUUAUGAUGUAAAGAAUCUGUACCCAUCCAUUCCAAUAGACGAACCUUUAAGAUUAGUAGAGAAAUUCUUGAAUGAUUGCAGAACAUUGAAAAACGUAACUGACCUAAGUGUGCGAUCAAUAAUGGAACUGUUAAAGUGGAUGUUUAGUUUGGCCUAUUGUGAAUUUGAUGGAAAACAUUAUGUCUUAGGAAGUGGUCCAAUUGGCUUAGGAGCAACAGGAGAAAUUGCCAUGAUAUACAUGGAAGAGUUUCAACUACGGGCAAUGGAAACAUCCCCAUACCCACUGGACCAAUGGUAUUGGUACGUAGAUGACAGUGAACUGAAAUGCAAGGAAGGACAAUCCGAGGAAAUACUUGAACACCUCAACAAUAUCAAACCGGGGGUUAUUGUGUUCACCAAGGAAGAUCAGGAGGAUGAUGUUUUACCCAUACUGGAUUUGAAGCAAAGGGUGGAUAGGAAGACAAAGCAGGUCGAGUGUAUGGUUCACUACAAGAAGACACAUACGAACAUCAAUGUCAAGGAAAGGUCGAACCAUCCUCCCAGUAUGAAGA